rnacentral:rRNA from 1 species
GAGGAAUAUUGGUCAAUGGGCGAGAGCCUGAACCAGCCAAGUAGCGUGCAGGAAGACGGCCCUAUGGGUUGUAAACUGCUUUUAUGCGGGGAUAAAGUGCGUGACGUGUCACGCAUUGCAGGUACCGCAUGAAUAAGGACCGGCUAAUUCCGUGCCAGCAGCCGCGGUAAUACGGAAGGUCCGGGCGUUAUCCGGAUUUAUUGGGUUUAAAGGGAGCGUAGGCCGCCAGGUAAGCGUGUUGUGAAAUGUACCGGCUCAACCGGUGAAUUGCAGCGCGAACUGUCUGGCUUGAGUGCACGGUAAGCAGGCGGAAUUCAUGGUGUAGCGGUGAAAUGCUUAGAUAUCAUGAGGAACUCCGAUUGCGAAGGCAGCUUGCUGCAGUGCGACUGACGCUGAUGCUCGAAGGUGCGGGUAUCAAACAGGAUUAGAUACCCUGGUAGUCCGCACGGUAAACGAUGGAUGCCCGCUGUCCGCCCCUUUGUGGCGGGUGGCCAAGCGAAAGCGUUAAGCAUCCCACCUGGGGAGUACGCCGGCAACGGUG